UAGGGAAUCUUCCGCAAUGGGCGAAAGCCUGCCGGAGCAACGCCGCGUGAGUGAUGAAGGUCUUCGGAUCGUAAAACUCUGUUAUUAGGGAAGAACAAAUGUGUAAGUAACUAUGCACGUCUUGACGUUACCUAAUCAGAAAGCCACGGCUAACUACGUGCUAGCAGCCUCGGUAAUACGUAGGUUGCAAGCGUUAUCCGGAAUUAUUGGGCGUAAAGCGCGCGUAGGCGGUUUUUUAAGUCUGAUGUGAAAGCCAACGGCUCAACCGUGGAGGGUCAUUGGAAACUGGAAAACUUGAGUGCAGAAGGGGAAAGUGGAAUUCCAUGUGUAGCGGUGAAAUGCGCAGAGAUAUGGAGGAACACCAGUGGCGAAGGAGACUUUCUGGUCUGUAACUGACGCUGAUGUGCGAAAGCGUGGGGAUCAAACAGG
rnacentral:rRNA from 1 species